rnacentral:rRNA from 1 species
AGAUUGAACGCUGGCGGCAUGCCUUACACAUGCAAGUCGAACGGCAGCACGGGAGCAAUCCUGGUGGCGAGUGGCGAACGGGUGAGUAAUAUAUCGGAACGUGCCCAGUCGUGGGGGAUAACGCAGUGAAAGCUGUGCUAAUACCGCAUACGAUCUAUGGAUGAAAGCGGGGGACUCGCAAGAGCCUCGCGCGAUUGGAGCGGCCGAUAUCAGAUUAGCUAGUUGGUGGGUAAUGGCCUACAAGGCUUCGACGGGUAGCCGGCUGAGAGGGUGACCGGCCACACUGGGACUGAGGACACGGCCCAGACUCCGUAGGGACGGCAGCAGGUAGGGAAUAGUUAGGACAAGUGGGACGAAAGCCUGAUCCAGCAAGUGCCGCGUGAGUGAUGAACGGUCCGUUAAGGGUU